rnacentral:lncRNA from 1 species
CCUCAGCUGCAUUUUUCAAGAUAAAGUAGUUUGCAAAAUGUACCUGUUAGUAACUGAAUGGGUUGAUUUGUUAUAUGAAAUCAGUAGCUUUCAGUGUUGAAGAUGACUACCUUUUCCUUUGGCUUUGAGGAAUGUGGUAACAUGCGCUUCUUCCUGACAACUCUUAUAAAUCAGGUACAAAUGUCUACGGAAGUCAUGUCUAGAUUAUAAAAGGAUCAUUUUCAGAUGGAGAUUUGACUACUGAUAGGCAAAAAUUUUCUACCAAAAGAAAUCCUAUUUAUAUACUCUCAGUGUUAACAAGAAUAACAGGGUCCUGGGCAGAAGGAGGCUCAUCCAGAUCAAAAUCAGCUUGCCUAUCAAUGCUGUGAAGAGAUCUACUUAUUACAUGAAUACAAAUCAAAGGGUAUAGGAAGGCAAGAGGAGUCAUUUGGCUCAAUUAAAUGGAAAAGUUUACAGAUGAUAAUACAUAAAUAUCCUUGCUUCUGUCUAACUUUGAAGACAGAAGAUAGAAAACAGCUGGCAUGA